UUUCAAUUUCUAGCUUGAAGCUAUAUUCCUCUCUGAUGUUUUUUUUUUGUUAUGUUUUCUUUGCUUUGGGUAUUUUACAUGGAAAUUUGAUAACCAAUUUAAAUUCUCCUUAAUCAUAUAAACUAGGAAUUCAUCUGAAAACUAAAGAAGCCUGGAACUUAUUCCUGUGAUAUCUUUGUAGCCUUACUAAUCAGGUGUGAGUUGCAGAAGGAUCUAAAUGUGGGUGUAGAUGACUAUUCUUAUUCUUAUUGUCAUUACUAAUCAGGUGAUCUUUAGUUAUUGUGCAAUGUGCAUGCAUGAUCAUGAAUAUUUUUUGUUUUUAAACUGACUUAUUUUUCUUUCUGCAAAGGCUCUUUAAGUGUUUGCAGUCACAUGAUUUUGAUGUUAUUAGUAUCCUUUCUGUUAACAUGAUGAAUCUCAUAUAGGAAUCAUCAGUGACUUUGAUGGUGCACAUAUACAUUGAUUGAAUACUAGAACUAGUUCUAUUUUGAUGUGGCAUCUUUCUGAUCAUUGGCUUUUUAUCUGACAAUUUCUUGUUGACAGACUCAGUCAUUUAAAAUUCUGCUUUUGAUGUGGUAUUUUUUUUAACAUUGAGUUUGUUAUGCUGACAAUUUUUUUUGGCAGAUUA